GGACGAACGCUGGCGGCGUGCUUACCACCCGCAAGUCGAACGGAAAGGCCCUGCUUUUGUGGGGUGCUCGAGUGGCGAACGGGUGAGUAACACGUGAGUAACCUGCCCUUGACUUUGGGAUAACUUCAGGAAACUGGGGCUAAUACCGGAUAGGAGCUCCUGCUGCAUGGUGGGGGUUGGAAAGUUUCGGCGGUUGGGGAUGGACUCGCGGCUUAUCAGCUUGUUGGUGGGGUAGUGGCUUACCAAGGCUUUGACGGGUAGCCGGCCUGAGAGGGUGACCGGCCACAUUGGGACUGAGAUACGGCCCAGACUCCUACGGGAGGCAGCAGUGGGGAAUAUUGCACAAUGGGCGGAAGCCUGAUGCAGCAACGCCGCGUGCGGGAUGACGGCCUUCGGGUUGUAAACCGCUUUCGCCUGUGACGAAGCGUGAGUGACGGUAAUGGGUAAAGAAGCACCGGCUAACUACGUG
rnacentral:rRNA from 1 species